ensembl:snRNA U6atac minor spliceosomal RNA
GUGUUGUAUAAAAGGAGAUAGGGUUAGCGCUCCCCUUGACAAGGAUGGAAGAGGCUCUCGGGCCUGACAACAUGCAUACGGUUAAGGCAUUGCCACCUACUUCCUGGCAUCUAACCACUGUUUUUC